AUUGAACGCUGGCGGCAUGCCUUACACAUGCAAGUCGAACGGCAGCACGGGCUUCGGCCUGGUGGCGAGUGGCGAACGGGUGAGUAAUACAUCGGAACGUGCCCUGUUGUGGGGGAUAACUAGUCGAAAGAUUAGCUAAUACCGCAUACGACCUGAGGGUGAAAGCGGGGGACCGUAAGGCCUCGCGCGAUAGGAGCGGCCGAUGUCUGAUUAGCUAGUUGGUGGGGUAAGAGCCCACCAAGGCGACGAUCAGUAGCUGGUCUGAGAGGACGAUCAGCCACACUGGGACUGAGACACGGCCCAGACUCCUACGGGAGGCAGCAGUGGGGAAUUUUGGACAAUGGGGGCAACCCUGAUCCAGCAAUGCCGCGUGUGUGAAGAAGGCCUUCGGGUUGUAAAGCACUUUUGUCCGGAAAGAAAUCGCGCUGGUUAAUACCUGGCGUGGAUGACGGUACCGGAAGAAUAAGCACCGGCUAACUACGUGCCAGCAGCCGCCGUAAGAC
rnacentral:rRNA from 1 species